rnacentral:rRNA from 1 species
GAUGAACGCUGGCGGCGUGCUUAACACAUGCAAGUCGAACGAAACACCUUAUUUGAUUUUCUUCGGAACUGAAGAUUUGGUGAUUGAGUGGCGGACGGGUGAGUAACGCGUGGGUAACCUGCCCUGUACAGGGGGAUAACAGUCAGAAAUGACUGCUAAUACCGCAUAAGACAACAGCACGGAAUGGUGCAGGGGUAAAAACUCCGGUGGUACAGGAUGGACCCGCGUCUGAUUAGCUGGUUGGUGAGGUAACGGCUCACCAAGGCGACGAUCAGUAGCCGGCUUGAGAGAGUGAACGGCCACAUUGGGACUGAGACACGGCCCAAACUCCUACGGGAGGCAGCAGUGGGGAAUAUUGCACAAUGGGGGAAACCCUGAUGCAGCGACGCCGCGUGAGUGAAGAAGUAUUUCGGUAUGUAAAGCUCUAUCAGCAGGGAAGAAAAUGACGGUACCUGACGAAGAAGCCCCGGCUAACUACGUG